rnacentral:lncRNA from 12 species
UUCCCAGUGUUGAAAUAAAGUAGACCUCUAAAUUCUAGCUCCACGUGACUUUGAGUCAAGAACUGUAUCUGAUUCAUCUUUGGUUUCCUAAUAGAUUUUCAAUAAAGUCUGUUGAAUAAUACCCAUUUUUCACAUAGACCAAGAAAACACCUGUAGGUGACAUCAAUGUACAAAUUAGAUCAACUGAUCAACUAUAAAUGAAUUUGCCUUAGCUGGAAAAAGUCUACAUAGAAAUCAGAUCGUGAACCUCCUAGUACCUCCCGCACUGUACCUCCCAACGCCCACUACUCUCCCCCUCACUCUGGUCCCCAGGAUGUGAAGGACCAUGGGACCCAACACCACCACAGCUUCAUUGUGUUAAUAGAACCUCGUCCGCGGGGAGCCUGUCGUUUGCCUUGCCCACACAACGAUCCCUGACGUCAGGACUCGGAAUCACACUCCUGACAUGACACAGCUGGCCGUGGCCAAAGACAUACCUGCGACUGUGACUACUCAGCAGCAGGAAAUGGAAAAUCCUGAACCUGAGAUCCAACAAUUUGGUCCAAAUGACAGCGCCGCACAAGCACAAGCACCGCACACCCGCCAGGCAGAGAGCACAAGGCCGCGGCCCGCACCCUGUGGCGCUCUGCAUGACAACCUGGGUCGCGGUGUCCCUAAGGCCUCGCCGUGAUGAGCUUCAUCAAAGUUUUUUUAAAACUUUAACUUUAAAAUUUCUAAUUAAAGAAAAAAAAAUCAUUAGCUCUGUUGGCUUUUAAAGACGAGCCUCUUCUUGCAGACGGACCUGGGCAGGGGGCUGUCCUGCAGCAAGACACUGGGGUCGGCCUUCAGCCUCCCCGGAGAUCUGAGGGCUAAUGAGCUAAUCUGG